UACGUAGGGGGCGAGCGUUGUCCGGAAUCACUGGGCGUAAAGCGUGUGUAGGCGGCUCUGUAAGUCAGGUGUGAAAACUUGCAGCUCAACUGUGGAAUUGCCCUUGAUACUGUGGUGCUAGAAUGCGGGUGAGGAGAGCGGAAUGCGUAGUGUAGCGGUGAAAUGCGUAGAUAUGAGGUAGAACACCGAUGGCGAAGGCAGCUUGCUGGAUCGAAACUGACGCUGAGGCACGAAAGCGUGGGGAGCGAACAGG
rnacentral:rRNA from 1 species